GGAAAACUUACCAGGUCCGGACGUAGUGAGGAUUGACAUAUUGAAGAUCUUUCUUGAUUCUAUGGGUGGUGGUGCAUGGUCGUUCUUAGUUGGUGGAGUGAUUUGUCUGGUUAAUUCCGUUAACGAACGAGACCUCGACCUGCUAAAUAGUUCGACGAAUUCUUCGGGAUUCGUACGUGACUUCCUAGAGGGACUAUCGGUGGUUAGCCGAUGGAAGUUCGAGGCAAUAA
rnacentral:rRNA from 1 species